rnacentral:sRNA from 1 species
UAGAGAGCCCUUAAGACAGAACCCUUCGUUUACCCACAGAACAAGAUGGCAGUAGACAGCAUCAUCAUGCUGCACUGCUAACAGGCCACAGCUCUGUCCUGGAGGGACCACUGCUAAGUGUGAGGGAGGACUUCACUCUUUAUUGCCCAUUCAAUCCUUUGUCUCC